rnacentral:pre_miRNA from 1 species
UAGACAGAUUUUUGUAUUCGACUGUAUUCACGAUAUGUUUUGUGAAUACAGUAACGUAAAUAGCGCAAUUCAUGGUUUAUUCAGCUGUUUUGAAACGGAAAGUGAAUCAAUUAACAUAAUAGACUCCU